rnacentral:lncRNA from 1 species
UUCUCAGAGAAGAAAUCUGAUGGAUUCAGCUGACCCUACCAGGACAAGCUAUUUCAUGCUUCACUACCAGCCAACGAAUUGAUUCUUCCUAUAUCAAGUGACUAUGCAUGGUCCAAUUACUUCUGAAUGUUACUGUCUGUGGCAGCCAGUGGACAAUCUUCCAGAGACUCCUGCCAUACUCUGCAAUUAUAUAUGUCAUUUGGGCACUAAAUCUGGCCACAUGACUGCUCCUGCAUCUGGCAUGCCCCUGUACAUCCUGACCCUAGUGAUAUCCAAAUAUUGGCCACGCUAGGCAUGGCUAUAAUGAAGAGAAGAAAGAAAAUGAUGACAGAGAAGAAAAAUAACCUGUUCUGAAUUUUAACCUGAGUUCCAGGUCCUGUGCUAAUGGCUUCAUAGAGAUGAAUGAGACAUGGAGCCUCCUGUGCGGAGCUCACAACACGAUCAUGAUGUGGUAAGGGUUUUGGAAAAGAGCCACAACACAGAAGCCGAGACAUUUUGUUCUACUGAUAGGAUCAGCUAAGACUUCACGGGACAGAUGGCAGUUGAUCUGGGCCUUCAAGGGUGACCCAUGCAUGUGACCAGUCAUUCACUUUGUCAUUCAUUCAUUCAUCCAUAGUUCAAGUACCAAUUUUGUGUUGGGCUUUUGUCUAAGCACUGGGCAUACAGAGAUAAUUAAACUUUAUAUAUCCAUUCACACAGCCUGAUGGUGGGGAGGGGAACACACAAAUGACUAUUAUAAACAGUAUCACAUAAUGAUGGCAGAAAUUAGUUAUAUUCAAGGUGCAAUUGGAUCAUUCAUGGAAAACAUAUCCAAGUCUGCAUGUGAGGAUUAAGAGACUUGUCAUGGUAAAACAUGAGUUAAAUUAAUAUUAAAAUAAGUCAUUCACCAAUGUGCCAGGCAUUGUGCUCCAUGCUUUACAUGUAUUAACUGACUGAAUCUCCAUAAUAACCGGAAAAGGUAGGGAACACUCUCUCCUCCGUAAAGAGAAAACAACUGGAAACUAACAAAGGAGUUAAGUAAUUUGUCAAAGACUGUGGGCAGAUGGGAAAAGUCAGUAUUCAGUGUAUCGAGAAGCCAGUAUCAGGUCUAUUUGAUGCCAAAAUUUUCACUCUUAGCUGUUGUCGAUACUGACUGUGUUUCCCUGAAACCUGGGGGAGACCCAGAGUAAAGAGAAUUCUAGGCAGAAGGAAUGUCACAUACAAAGGCAGAGAGAGGUGGAGAAGCCCAUGGAUUUGGAAACCAACCAAUGAAUGCUGCUGGUGGAGAAGGGUUUGGGUGGGAAUGAAAGCUGAAGGACAUAAUGCAGGAGAUGACGCGGGUAAUCUGGUAGAGGGUAAUUUUUGCUACACUUAAGAGUUUAGGUUUUAUACUGUAUACAGGGUGGUAGGGAAAGGUUUCCAGCAAGAACAAGCUAAAACCAGAUCUGACCAUGGAAAGAUGCACUGGGGCAGAGGCUAGGACCUUUGAAUGCCAAGCACAGGAGUGUUUGCAGUUAGGCGUAAAAGUAUUGGCAAGAGUUAAAAGAAACCCUCUUUUGCCUCCCUCUCUCUGCCUGUCAAUCUAACCUGCUGAAAUGGAAGUUUUUUGAGUUUAUUUGAUUUUGGGAAAUGAUAUAUUCUUUAUUUUUUUUUUUUCCUCUCUAUCUUCAUUUUCCCCCUGGACUGCAUAUCAGUGCAUGCAGUGGCCUGCAGGUUCUCAGUUUUCACUGAGAAAUGUACGUUUGG